GACGAACGCUGGCGGCGCGCCUAACACAUGCAAGUCGAACGGAAAGGCCUGCUUUCCCUUGUGGCUUGCGGGUACUCGAGUGGCGAACGGGUGAGUAACACGUGAGUGAUCUGCCCCCAACUUGGGUAUAAGCCUGGGAAACUGGGUCUAAUUCUCGAUAGGACUGCAGGGUGGUGCCUGUGGUGGAACACGUUUUUCUAGUGGUUGGGGAUGAGUUCGCGGCUUAUCAGCUUGUUGGUGGGGUAGUGGCCUACCAAGGCGGCGACGGGUAGCCAGCCUGAGAGGGGGGACGGGGACAUUGAGACUGAGAUACGGCCCAGACUCGUAGGGGAGGCAGGAGUGGGGAAUGAUGGACAAAGGGCGGAAGCCUGAAGCAGCGACGCAGCGUGGAGGAUGACGGGCUUCGGGAUGUAAGCUCGUUUCGACGGCGAAGAGGCCACCUGGUUGGGAGGGUGGUGACGGUAGUGGUAGAAGAAGCACCGGCUAACUACGUG
rnacentral:rRNA from 1 species